rnacentral:rRNA from 1 species
CCUACGGGUGGCAGCAGUAGGGAAUAUUGCUCAAUGGGGGAAACCCUGAAGCAGCAACGCCGCGUGGAGGAUGAAGGUUUUCGGAUUGUAAACUUCUUUUGUUAGAGAAGAUAAUGACGGUAGCUAACGAAUAAGCACCGGCUAACUCCGUGCCAGCAGCCGCGGUAAUACGGAGGGUGCAAGCGUUACUCGGAAUCACUGGGCGUAAAGAGGGCGGCGGCGGGAUAGCAAGUCAGAUGUGAAAUCCUAUGGCUUAACCAUAGUACUGCAUUUGAAACUGUUAUUCUAGAGUAUGGGAGAGGUAGGUGGAAUUCUUGGUGUAGGGGUGAAAUCCGUAGAGAUCAAGAGGAAUACUCAUUGCGAAGGCGACCUGCUAGAACAUAACUGACGCUGAUGCGCGAAAGCGUGGGGAGCAAACAGGAUUAGAUACCCUAGUAGUC